rnacentral:rRNA from 1 species
AACGAACGCUGGCGGCAUGCCUAACACAUGCAAGUCGAACGAGACCUUCGUGUCUAUUGGCGCACGGGUGCUUAACGCGUGGUAACCUGCCCUUAGGUUCGGAAUAACUCCCCGAAAGGUGUGCUAAUACCGGUUAAUGUCUUCUGACCAAAGAUUUAUCGCCUUUGGAUGGGCCCGCGUUGGAUUAGCUAGUUGGUAGGGUAAAAGCCUACCAAGGCGACGAUCCAUAGCUGGUCUGAGAGGAUGAUCAGCCACACUGGGACUGAGACACGGCCCAGACUCCGACGGGAGGCAGCAGUGGGGAAUAUUGGACAAUGGGCGAAAGCGUGAUCCAGCAAUGCCGGGUGAGUGAUGAAGGCCUUAGGGUUGUAAAGCUCUUUUACACGGGAUGAUAAUGACAGUAACGGGAGAAUAAGCACCGGCUAACUACGUG